AGCUUGACUGCGAGACCUACAAGUCGAGCAGGGUCGAAAGACGGACUUAGUGAUCCGGUGGUUCCGCAUGGAAGGGCCAUCGCUCAACGGAUAAAAGCUACCCCGGGGAUAACAGGCUUAUCUCCCCCAAGAGUUCACAUCGACGGGGAGGUUUGGCACCUCGAUGUCGGCUCAUCGCAUCCUGGGGCUGUAGUCGGUCCCAAGGGUUGGGCUGUUCGCCCAUUAAAGCGGUACGCGAGCUGGGUUCAGAACGUCGUGAGACAGUUCGGUCCCUAUCCGUCGUGGGCGUAGGAAAUUUGAGAGGAGCUGUCCUUAGUACGAGAGGACCGGGAUGGACAUACCUCUGGUGUACCAGUUGUCGUGCCAACGGCAUAGCUGGGUAGCUAUGUGUGGACGGGAUAAGUGCUGAAAGCAUCUAAGCAUGAAGCCCCCCUCAAGAUGAGAUUUCCCAACUUCGGUUAUAAGAUCCCUCAAAGAUGAUGAGGUUAAUAGGUUCGAGGUG
rnacentral:rRNA from 1 species